UUAAGUUAGAAAGGGCGCACGGUGGAUGCCUUGACACUAGGAGUCGAUGAAGGACGGGACUAACGCCGAUAUGCUUCGGGGAGCUGUAAGUAAGCUUUGAUCCGAAGAUUUCCGAAUGGGGAAACCCACCAUACGUAAUGGUAUGGUAUCCUUAUCUGAAUACAUAGGGUAAGGAAGACAGACCCAGGGAACUGAAACAUCUAAGUACCUGGAGGAAGAGAAAGCAAAUGCGAUUUCCUGAGUAGCGGCGAGCGAAACGGAACAUAGCCCAAACCAAGAGGCUUGCCUCUUGGGGUUGUAGGACAUUCUAUACGGAGUUACAAAGGAACGAGGUAGACGAAGCGACCUGGAAAGGUCCGUCGUAGAGGGUAACAACCCCGUAGUCGAAACUUCGUUCUCUCUUGAAUGUAUCCUGAGUACGGCGGAACACGUGAAAUUCCGUCGGAAUCUGGGAGGACCAUCUCCCAAGGCUAAAUACUCCCUAGUGAUCGAUAGUGAACCAGUACCGUGAGGGAAAGGUGAAAAGCACCCCGGAAGGGGAGUGAAAGAGAUCCUGAAACCGUGUGCCUACAAAUAGUCAGAGCCCGUUAACGGGUGAUGGCGUGCCUUUUGUAGAAUGAACCGGCGAGUUACGAUCCCGUGCGAGGUUAAGCUGAAGAGGCGGAGCCGCAGCGAAAGCGAGUCUGAAUAGGGCGUUUAGUACGUGGUCGUAGACCCGAAACCAGGUGAUCUACCCAUGUCCAGGGUGAAGUUCAGGUAACACUGAAUGGAGGCCCGAACCCACGCACGUUGAAAAGUGCGGGGAUGAGGUGUGGGUAGCGGAGAAAUUCCAAUCGAACCUGGAGAUAGCUGGUUCUCCCCGAAAUAGCUUUAGGGCUAGCCUUAAGUGUAAGAGUCUUGGAGGUAGAGCACUGAUUGGACUAGGGGUCCUCAUCGGAUUACCGAAUUCAGUCAAACUCCGAAUGCCAAUGACUUAUCCUUAGGAGUCAGACUGCGAGUGAUAAGAUCCGUAGUCAAAAGGGAAACAGCCCAGACCGCCAGCUAAGGUCCCAAAGUGUGUAUUAAGUGGAAAAGGAUGUGGAGUUGCUUAGACAACUAGGAUGUUGGCUUAGAAGCAGCCACCAUUUAAAGAGUGCGUAAUAGCUCACUAGUCGAGUGACUCUGCGCCGAAAAUGUACCGGGGCUAAAUACACCACCGAAGCUGCGGAUUGAUACCAAUGGUAUCAGUGGUAGGGGAGCGUUCUAAGGACAGUGAAGUCAGACCGGAAGGACUGGUGGAGUGCUUAGAAGUGAGAAUGCCGGUAUGAGUAGCGAAAGACGGGUGAGAAUCCCGUCCACCGAAUGCCUAAGGUUUCCUGAGGAAGGCUCGUCCGCUCAGGGUUAGUCAGGACCUAAGCCGAGGCCGACAGGCGUAGGCGAUGGACAACAGGUUGAUAUUCCUGUACCACCUCUUUAUCGUUUGAGCAAUGGAGGGACGCAGAAGGAUAGAAGAAGCGUGCGAUUGGUUGUGCACGUCCAAGCAGUUAGGCUGAUAAGUAGGCAAAUCCGCUUAUCGUGAAGGCUGAGCUGUGAUGGGGAAGCUCCUUAUGGAGCGAAGUCUUUGAUUCCCCGCUGCCAAGAAAAGCUUCUAGCGAGAUAAAAGGUGCCUGUACCGCAAACCGACACAGGUAGGCGAGGAGAGAAUCCUAAGGUGUGCGAGAGAACUCUGGUUAAGGAACUCGGCAAAAUGACCCCGUAACUUCGGGAGAAGGGGUGCUUUCUUAACGGAAAGCCGCAGUGAAUAGGCCCAAGCGACUGUUUAGCAAAAACACAGCUCUCUGCGAAGCCGUAAGGCGAAGUAUAGGGGGUGACACCUGCCCGGUGCUGGAAGGUUAAGGAGAGGGGUUAGCGUAAGCGAAGCUCUGAACUGAAGCCCCAGUAAACGGCGGCCGUAACUAUAACGGUCCUAAGGUAGCGAAAUUCCUUGUCGGGUAAGUUCCGACCCGCACGAAAGGUGUAACGAUUUGGGCACUGUCUCAACCAGAGACUCGGUGAAAUUAUAGUACCUGUGAAGAUGCAGGUUACCCGCGACAGGACGGAAAGACCCCGUGGAGCUUUACUGUAGCCUGAUAUUGAAUUUUGGUACAGUUUGUACAGGAUAGGCGGGAGCCUUUGAAACCGGAGCGCUAGCUUCGGUGGAGGCGCUGGUGGGAUACCGCCCUGACUGUAUUGAAAUUCUAACCUACGGGUCUUAUCGACCCGGGAGACAGUGUCAGGUGGGCAGUUUGACUGGGGCGGUCGCCUCCUAAAGUGUAACGGAGGCGCCCAAAGGUUCCCUCAGAAUGGUUGGAAAUCAUUCGUAGAGUGCAAAGGCAUAAGGGAGCUUGACUGCGAGACCUAAAAAGUCGAGCAGGGACGAAAGUCGGGCUUAGUGAUCCGGUGGUUCCGCAUGGAAGGGCCAUCGCUCAACGGAUAAAAGCUACCCCGGGGAUAACAGGCUUAUCUCCCCCAAGAGUCCACAUCGACGGGGAGGUUUGGCACCUCGAUGUCGGCUCAUCGCAUCCUGGGGCUGUAGUCGGUCCCAAGGGUUGGGCUGUUCGCCCAUUAAAGCGGUACGCGAGCUGGGUUCAGAACGUCGUGAGACAGUUCGGUCCCUAUCCGUCGUGGGCGUAGGAAAUUUGAGAGGAGCUGUCCUUAGUACGAGAGGACCGGGAUGGACGCACCGCUGGUGUACCAGUUGUUCUGCCAAGGGCAUAGCUGGGUAGCUAUGUGCGGAAGGGAUAAGUGCUGAAAGCAUCUAAGCAUGAAGCCCCCCUCAAGAUGAGAUUUCCCAUAGCGUAAGCUAGUAAGAUCCCUGAAAGAUGAUCAGGUUGAUAGGUUCGAGGUGGAAGCAUGGUGACAUGUGGAGCUGACGAAUACUAAUAGAUCGAGGACUUAACCAU
rnacentral:rRNA from 1 species